GCCAGGUGCGGUGGUGCAUGCCUGUAAUCCCAAUGGCUUGGGAGGCUGAGACAGGAGGAUGGAGAGUUCAAAGUCAUCCUCAGCAACAGCGAGGCAUUAAGCAACUCAGUGAGACCCUGUCUCUA
rnacentral:sRNA from 1 species